UUAAGCGACUAAGCGUACACGGUGGAUGCCCUGGCAGUCAGAGGCGAUGAAGGACGUGCUAAUCUGCGAUAAGCGUCGGUAAGGUGAUAUGAACCGUUAUAACCGGCGAUUUCCGAAUGGGGAAACCCAGUGUGAUUCGUCACACUAUCAUUAACUGAAUCCAUAGGUUAAUGAGGCGAACCGGGGGAACUGAAACAUCUAAGUACCCCGAGGAAAAGAAAUCAACCGAGAUUCCCCCAGUAGCGGCGAGCGAACGGGGAGCAGCCCAGAGCCUGAAUCAGUGUGUGUGUUAGUGGAAGCGUCUGGAAAGGCGCGCGAUACAGGGUGACAGCCCCGUACACAAAAAUGCACAUACUGUGAGCUCGAUGAGUAGGGCGGGACACGUGGUAUCCUGUCUGAAUAUGGGGGGACCAUCCUCCAAGGCUAAAUACUCCUGACUGACCGAUAGUGAACCAGUACCGUGAGGGAAAGGCGAAAAGAACCCCGGCGAGGGGAGUGAAAAAGAACCUGAAACCGUGUACGUACAAGCAGUGGGAGCACGCUUAGGCGUGUGACUGCGUACCUUUUGUAUAAUGGGUCAGCGACUUAUAUUCUGUAGCAAGGUUAACCGAAUAGGGGAGCCGAAGGGAAACCGAGUCUUAACUGGGCGUUAAGUUGCAGGGUAUAGACCCGAAACCCGGUGAUCUAGCCAUGGGCAGGUUGAAGGUUGGGUAACACUAACUGGAGGACCGAACCGACUAAUGUUGAAAAAUUAGCGGAUGACUUGUGGCUGGGGGUGAAAGGCCAAUCAAACCGGGAGAUAGCUGGUUCUCCCCGAAAGCUAUUUAGGUAGCGCCUCGUGAAUUCAUCUCCGGGGGUAGAGCACUGUUUCGGCAAGGGGGUCAUCCCGACUUACCAACCCGAUGCAAACUGCGAAUACCGGAGAAUGUUAUCACGGGAGACACACGGCGGGUGCUAACGUCCGUCGUGAAGAGGGAAACAACCCAGACCGCCAGCUAAGGUCCCAAAGUCAUGGUUAAGUGGGAAACGAUGUGGGAAGGCCCAGACAGCCAGGAUGUUGGCUUAGAAGCAGCCAUCAUUUAAAGAAAGCGUAAUAGCUCACUGGUCGAGUCGGCCUGCGCGGAAGAUGUAACGGGGCUAAACCAUGCACCGAAGCUGCGGCAGCGACACUGUGUGUUGUUGGGUAGGGGAGCGUUCUGUAAGCCUGCGAAGGUGUGCUGUGAGGCAUGCUGGAGGUAUCAGAAGUGCGAAUGCUGACAUAAGUAACGAUAAAGCGGGUGAAAAGCCCGCUCGCCGGAAGACCAAGGGUUCCUGUCCAACGUUAAUCGGGGCAGGGUGAGUCGACCCCUAAGGCGAGGCCGAAAGGCGUAGUCGAUGGGAAACAGGUUAAUAUUCCUGUACUUGGUGUUACUGCGAAGGGGGGACGGAGAAGGCUAUGUUGGCCGGGCGACGGUUGUCCCGGUUUAAGCGUGUAGGCUGGUUUUCCAGGCAAAUCCGGAAAAUCAAGGCUGAGGCGUGAUGACGAGGCACUACGGUGCUGAAGCAACAAAUGCCCUGCUUCCAGGAAAAGCCUCUAAGCAUCAGGUAACAUCAAAUCGUACCCCAAACCGACACAGGUGGUCAGGUAGAGAAUACCAAGGCGCUUGAGAGAACUCGGGUGAAGGAACUAGGCAAAAUGGUGCCGUAACUUCGGGAGAAGGCACGCUGAUAUGUAGGUGAAGUCCCUCGCGGAUGGAGCUGAAAUCAGUCGAAGAUACCAGCUGGCUGCAACUGUUUAUUAAAAACACAGCACUGUGCAAACACGAAAGUGGACGUAUACGGUGUGACGCCUGCCCGGUGCCGGAAGGUUAAUUGAUGGGGUCAGCGCAAGCGAAGCUCUUGAUCGAAGCCCCGGUAAACGGCGGCCGUAACUAUAACGGUCCUAAGGUAGCGAAAUUCCUUGUCGGGUAAGUUCCGACCUGCACGAAUGGCGUAAUGAUGGCCAGGCUGUCUCCACCCGAGACUCAGUGAAAUUGAACUCGCUGUGAAGAUGCAGUGUACCCGCGGCAAGACGGAAAGACCCCGUGAACCUUUACUAUAGCUUGACACUGAACAUUGAGCCUUGAUGUGUAGGAUAGGUGGGAGGCUUUGAAGUGUGGACGCCAGUCUGCAUGGAGCCGGCCUUGAAAUACCACCCUUUAAUGUUUGAUGUUCUAACGUUGACCCGUGAUCCGGGUUGCGGACAGUGUCUGGUGGGUAGUUUGACUGGGGCGGUCUCCUCCUAAAGAGUAACGGAGGAGCACGAAGGUUGGCUAAUCCUGGUCGGACAUCAGGAGGUUAGUGCAAUGGCAUAAGCCAGCUUGACUGCGAGCGUGACGGCGCGAGCAGGUGCGAAAGCAGGUCAUAGUGAUCCGGUGGUUCUGAAUGGAAGGGCCAUCGCUCAACGGAUAAAAGGUACUCCGGGGAUAACAGGCUGAUACCGCCCAAGAGUUCAUAUCGACGGCGGUGUUUGGCACCUCGAUGUCGGCUCAUCACAUCCUGGGGCUGAAGUAGGUCCCAAGGGUAUGGCUGUUCGCCAUUUAAAGUGGUACGCGAGCUGGGUUUAGAACGUCGUGAGACAGUUCGGUCCCUAUCUGCCGUGGGCGCUGGAGAACUGAGGGGGGCUGCUCCUAGUACGAGAGGACCGGAGUGGACGCAUCACUGGUGUUCGGGUUGUCAUGCCAAUGGCACUGCCCGGUAGCUAAAUGCGGAAGAGAUAAGUGCUGAAAGCAUCUAAGCACGAAACUUGCCCCGAGAUGAGUUCUCCCUGACUCCUUGAGAGUCCUGAAGGAACGUUGAAGACGACGACGUUGAUAGGCCGGGUGUGUAAGCGCAGCGAUGCGUUGAGCUAACCGGUACUAAUGAACCGUGAGGCUUAACCUU
rnacentral:rRNA from 3 species